rnacentral:rRNA from 1 species
CAGGUUGAAGCUUGGGUAAAACCAGGUGGAGGACCGAACCAGGGUCUGUUGCAAUAGACUUGGAUGACUUGUGGUUAGGGGCGAAAAACCAAACGAACCUGGAGAUAGCUGGUUCUCCCCGAAAUAGCUUUAGGGCUAGCGUUAUUUUUAGUUUACUGGAGGUAGAGCACUGAAUGGUUGAUGGCCACACCUAGUGGUACUGAUAUCAAUCAAACUCCGAAUGCCAGUAAAUAUAAAUAGCAGUAAGACUGUGGGUGAUAAGGCUCAUAGUCAAAAGGGAAACAGCCCAGACCGCCAGCUAAGGUCCCGAAAUAUAUGCUAAGUGGGAAAGGAUGUGGAGUUGUAUAAACAGCUAGGAGGUUGGCUUAGAAGCAGCCACCCUUUAAAGAGUGCGUAAUAGCUCACUAGUCGAAUGAUUCUGCGCCGAAAAUGUAUCGGGGCUAAAGCAUAUUACCGAAGCUGCGGAUAUAGAAAAUUUUUUCUAUGUGGUAGGGGAGCGUAGUUAAUGCGCUGAAGCAAGACUGAGAAGACUUGUGGAGUGUUAAGUAGUGAGAAUGCCGGUGUGAGUAACGAAAAGAUGGGUGAGAAUCCCAUCCGUCGAAAGCCUAAGGUUUCCAGAGGAAGGUUCGUCCGCUCUGGGUUAGUCGGGUCCUAAGGUCAGGCUGAAAAGCGUAGCCGAUGGACAUCAGGUUGAUAUUCCUGGACCACUUAUAUGACUGAUGGAAUGACGAAGAAGGCUAGAAUAGGCAAAUUAGUGGAUUUUUGUAGAAGGGUGUAGGUGGAAGAUCUAUGCAAAUCAGGAUCUUUAAUUAAACACUGAAACCAAAAAUAAUUUAUUCGAGGCCCGACUUCCAAGAAAAGUUUCUAAGAUUAUUAUAUAAGUGCCCGUACCGUAAACCGACACAGGUAGGCGAGGGGAAGAAAUCCAAAGACGCGCGAGAAAACUCUUGUUAAGGAACUCUGCAAAAUGACCCCGUAACUUCGGAAUAAGGGGGGCUUACUAUAAGUAAGCCGCAGAUAAUAGGCCCAAGCGACUGUUUAUCAAAAACACAGGUCUCUGCUAAACCGCAAGGUGAAGUAUAGGGGCUGACGCCUGCCCAGUGCUGGAAGGUUAAGAGGAGAUGUCAGAACGUAAGUUCAAAGCAUUGAAUUGAAGCCCCAGUAAACGGCGGCCGUAACUAUAACGGUCCUAAGGUAGCGAAAUUCCUUGUCGGGUAAGUUCCGACCCGCACGAAAGGCGUAACGAUUUGGGCGCUGUCUCAACUCGAGACUCGGUGAAAUCAUAUUAUUGGUGAAGAUGCCAAUUACCCGCGACUAGACGGCAAGACCCCAUGGAGCUUCACUGCAACUUGAUAUUGAUAUUGGGUAUUGGAUGUACAGGAUAGGUGGGAGACUAAGAAGCAAGGACGCUAGUUUUUGCAGAGUCGCCCUUUGGAUACCACCCUUCUAAUAUUUAGUGUCUAACUAGAGGCC